AGUUGACUGAUUUGACUUGAGAGGUAGAGAGACUCUACAGCCUGCUUCGUUCGACACUUGAGUUGAUCUGGAUUGAUAUCAGAGACUCGAGGAACUUCAUUUUUUCUGAUCUUGAGGGGCUCCAAGUUUCAGUUAGAGGAGUCUUGUCCUAGCUAAAUGCCAUUAAGACUCAGCUCUAGUCCAGACCUUCCGCAUCCAGUGAGCUCACUUUUGUCCAACCUAUCGCUUUCCAUCCCCCGACAUCUUCCACUCGAAUCAGACCUUUCAGUCAAGGUCGAGACUGAUUCUAUUUCAGUUGUUUUGAUAUUAAGCUCAAUGCCCAUCUCCCUGAUCUGAUCAUUUUGUAUUAGCAGUUUUAGGUUACAUACUACUUAGUUUUUGUACUUUAUUUAAGUGGUUAAAUGUAUGAGAGCCUUGUGCUCAUAUAUAUAUAUUAUGACUUAAUCAUUAUAAUGUAUGAAUGUACUUGACUCUUGUAACCUCUUAUUUUAUUGUAAUU
rnacentral:lncRNA from 1 species